UACAAAGUUGCUUUUUUCUCUGUUUCCGUGCUGUGCUCCCUGGAAGGAAGUCUCCAUGUGCAGCCCACACUGAGGGAAAUACAAGGCCACUCAUGACUGUGUGACCUGGGCAGGCUACUUAACCUCUGUGUCUCAGUUUCCUUAUCUGGGAAACAGGCUGAUAUUCCCACCACACAGGGCUGUCGCUGGCUGGCACAUGGAACGUUCAGAACGGUGUCUGGUUGUAGUAAG
rnacentral:lncRNA from 1 species